UACGUAGGCAGCGAGCGUUGUUCGGAGUUACUGGGCGUAAAGAGUGCGUAGGCGGUUUUCUAAGUUUGGUGUGAAAUCUCCCGGCUUAACUGGGAGGGUGCGCCGAAAACUGGAAGGCUUGAGUAUGGGAGAGGUAAGCGGAAUUCCUGGUGUAGCGGUGAAAUGCGUAGAUAUCAGGAGGAGCACCAAUGGCGAAGGCAGCUCGCUGGAACGGUACUGACGCUGAGGCGCGAAAGCGUGGGGAGCGAACAGG
rnacentral:rRNA from 1 species